CUAAUCCUAUUUUCAGGGAUAGGUUCUUUAGUUUUAUCGUAAGAAAUGUUUUUCUUAAGUGAGUCCCGCCACCCACGACGAUGAGCUGGGGUACUUCUUCCUGAGCGCUAAGCGGGUACAGAGACGUGGUUUAGUCACACGCUCUGUGCUUUAGAUGAUGUUCAAUGUUCCUUUCAUGGGAGCAUCAAGAGAAGGGGCAUGUUCUGAAUGGU